AUAUAUAAAGGAAAAUUUAGGAAUAUGUGACAAAGGUUAAACAAAGUUAAUUAAAAGAUACAAAUUAUUUCACAAAAUAAUGAGGAUGAAUAUUCAAACAAAAUAAUCAAAAGUUACAAAUCAUUUCACAUAACAAUGAGGAUGACUGGACAGAGUAACAGGGCAUGUGAGAAGCGACGCGAUUGAGUGACGCGAUAAACGAGAUCUUCGAGCUGAAGUUUGGUGACUUCUCUGCCUUCUUCCACCCACUGGUUCAGAAUAGGACUUUGUCUUCAAUGAGUGAGAGACACUUUGAAGUUGUGUUUCCUGGACAAAGGAGAAGAUUAAUUAGUGCUGCAUCUUCAACUUAGAUAAAGUUAUUUUCCUUCAUUCAUACAGAUGCCAAAUCAGGCUAUAAAUACAAGUCCCAAAGCAGUACAUAAAGGCAUCUGAACUUUGAAUCAAUUACUAGAAAGAAAAGCAGUUUAUUGUUGUCAUGACGCAGAAUAAGAGAGGAUGAUGAAGCUUGAUCAGAUUUCUUAAGUAUUCAAUCAGUGAUGCAUAUUUAUGUUAUAAGGAAGAAGUAUACUUAACAAGCUUUUCUCAUCAGUUCUAGCAUUUGACUCACAUUCACCUGCUAAAGAAACUAAAGUAGCAACUGAUCUCGUGAUUCAACAACAGCAAGAGCCAAGGAAAAGACAGACUACUCUCCAGCACAAGUAAAAAUUUGAGCAUCUCACAUAUGCAUAACAAAAAUAAACCCUUCUAUAGCAUGAAUCAACCUCACUAUUUUUUAAAGAUGUCAUCAGAGGAUUUUGAGCACUCGCUUUUAUUCUUUCAACCAACAUGACCACCAAAUAUUAGGAAUGGUAUGAACAAAAAAGAUCACCUUUGGAAGUUACAUAAAGUGUGUGCACGAGGGGUCACAUUUAAAAUCAUCAAAGGGAAGAUACAAACAUCACCAAGCAGAGUAUAACCAAAGUGCUUCAGUAAAUAAAUCAUCAGGUAGCUAGGUCUACAGCUAAACAAAAUGUCAAAACAACAAUAUCAGGAGAUCCUCUUGUAAGGCCGAUUAUAUGUAUAAAUCUGGCAUCCAACCUUUGCAACAUUUAAUGCAUUAUUUAGCAUCUAGCCAUCUACAUAUAUGAGAUGACUCAAAAACAAGAAAGAGUUGAGAGAAAUAGAAACCACAUUUGUAAAGCU
rnacentral:lncRNA from 1 species